rnacentral:lncRNA from 1 species
GACAAACAUGGUUUUCGUACCUCAAUUCCACAUGAUAUGUUGUCAUUUUCCUUCAUGUUUUGUUUGCCAAUGCGUGUUUGUACCAUAAUGUUGAGUUUUAUGAAGAUUUGAUGUCUUGGUGUAGUUUUGGAGUAAUUUCAGGAAAAAUCAAGGAUUAAUUGGAGGAUUUUGAAGAUAUGAGAUUGAAGUACGUCUCGAGAGGAAUCCGUGAGCGCAAACGGCGACCAAAUCUGAGUCCGGACGAGGGAGAACGGAGCAAAACGAGCGGACUGUGCAAAACGCCC